GAUGAACGCUGGCGGCGUGCCUAAUACAUGCAAGUCGAGCGAACAGACGAGGAGCUUGCUCCUCUGACGUUAGCGGCGGACGGGUGAGUAACACGUGGAUAACCUACCUAUAAGACUGGGAUAACUUCGGGAAACCGGAGCUAAUACCGGAUAAUAUAUUGAACCGCAUGGUUCAAUAGUGAAAGACGGUUUUGCUGUCACUUAUAGAUGGAUCCGCGCCGCAUUAGCUAGUUGGUAAGGUAACGGCUUACCAAGGCAACGAUGCGUAGCCGAACUGAGAGGGUGAUCAGCCACACUGGAAAUGAGACACGGUCCAGACUCCUACGGGAGGCAGCAGUAGGGAAUCUUCCGCAAUGGGCGAAAGCCUGACAGAGCAACGCCGCGUAAGUGAUCAAGGUCUUCGGAUCGUAAAACUCUGUUAUUAGGGAAGAACAAAUGUGUGAGUAACUAUGCACGUCUUGACGGUACCUAAUCAGAAAGCCACGGCUAACUACGUG
rnacentral:rRNA from 1 species